rnacentral:rRNA from 1 species
AUGAACGCUGGCGGCAUGCCUAACACAUGCAAGUCGAACGAAGGCUUCGGCCUUAGUGGCGCACGGGUGCGUAACGCGUGGGAAUCUGCCCCUUGGUUCGGAAUAACAGUUAGAAAUGACUGCUAAUACCGGAUGAUGACGUAAGUCCAAAGAUUUAUCGCCGAGGGAUGAGCCCGCGUAGGAUUAGCUAGUUGGUGUGGUAAGAGCGCACCAAGGCGACGAUCCUUAGCUGGUCUGAGAGGAUGAUCAGCCACACUGGGACUGAGACACGGCCCAGACUCCUACGGGAGGCAGCAGUGGGGAAUAUUGGACAAUGGGCGAAAGCCUGAUCCAGCAAUGCCGCGUGAGUGAUGAAGGCCUUAGGGUUGUAAAGCUCUUUUACCCGGGAUGAUAAUGACAGUACCGGGAGAAUAAGCUCCGGCUAACUCCGUG